rnacentral:rRNA from 1 species
AUCUUCCGCAAUGGACGAAAGUCUGACGGAGCAACGCCGCGUGAGUGAUGAAGGUUUUCGGAUCGUAAAACUCUGUUGUCAGGGAAGAACAAGUACCGGAGUAACUGCCGGUACCUUGACGGUACCUGACCAGAAAGCCACGGCUAACUACGUGCCAGCAGCCGCGGUAAUACGUAGGUGGCAAGCGUUGUCCGGAAUUAUUGGGCGGAAAGCGCGCGCAGGCGGUUCCUUAAGUCUGAUGUGAAAGCCCCCGGCUCAACCGGGGAGGGUCAUUGGAAACUGGGGAACUUGAGUGCAGAAGAGAAGAGUGGAAUUCCACGUGUAGCGGUGAAAUGCGUAGAGAUGUGGAGGAACACCAGUGGCGAAGGCGACUCUUUGGUCUGUAACUGACGCUGAGGCGCGAAAGCGUGGGGAGCAAACAGG